rnacentral:lncRNA from 1 species
UCAGAUUUGUGAAUGAAAAUGAAUGAGCCGAGAGAAGAAGAAAUAAUAUGUAUAACAAAAAAGAGAAAGAUGGAUAAAAAGGAGGAUUUUUUUGGGACGUUAAAAAUGUUAAUUCCUAUCUUGACUAUCACCACCCUCGUUGCCUUGAUGAUCAUGAAUGUUGCACUUAAUUAAUUUCUUUAAGCUCACUGCAACAUCAUUAAUAAAUGAGAUAGGGAGUGAAUAAAAGGUAGUGUGAACAGAGCCUAAAGGUUGGAGCCUUGGAGCCGGAGGUGUUCCAGUGUAUCCCUCUCUUUCUUAUUUAGUUCUUUUGGGUUUUGGCCAUUAACAAAUGAACCUAUGCUUCUUGUGACAGCUGGUGUGUUAUUUUAAAAGAAAAUAUAUAUAUUU